UACGGGGGGAGCAAGCGUUGUUCGGAAUCAUUGGGUUUAAAGGGUCCGUAGGCGGUUUUGUAAGUCAGUGGUGAAAGCCCAUCGCUCAACGGUGGAACGGCCAUUGAUACUGCAAGACUUGAAUUAUUAGGAAGUAACUAGAAUAUGUAGUGUAGCGGUGAAAUGCUUAGAGAUUACAUGGAAUACCAAUUGCGAAGGCAGGUUACUACUAAUGGAUUGACGCUGAUGGACGAAAGCGUGGGGAGCGAACAGG
rnacentral:rRNA from 1 species